rnacentral:rRNA from 1 species
UGAAAUGUGAUAAGUAAUGUGAAUUGCAGAAUCUUGUGAAUCAUCGAAUUUUUGAACGCACAUUGCG